CCACCACAACACAAUACACUACACAAAUAACCCACACAUAGGAGAAAGAAAAUUAUGACAACGUUUCGGUCCGACUAAAGACGCCACAACUCCAACACCAUCAUCACCCCAAGUGUAACCGCAGCCCAACAUCUUUACCCAUCAACCACCACCAUAACUACAGUGUGAGGGAAAAGUAGGUGUAAGUGGGGUUAAGGUUGUUCGGGCAACCAGGAACCAUUAGUUACGUCGCGUGCACCCCCCCCCCCCUUCUCUCUGGCGGGCUGGGGCGAAACUAGUUCCUGGUGUCCGAUUUGUUAGUUUCUACUCCUGGUAAUAUUGACCUUACCUGGUGUGGGUUGAGGUUUGGAGAGUCACUUCACCUCCACUCUUCUCCUAAUCAGCUCUGUUCCUGGCGUGGUCUUCCAGGAUAGACGCCAGAUAAAGGAGCAAGACGUGUUAAUAAUACUUAUUAACAUUAUUCUACUACUACCGGCCCUUACCUAUUCUACUUGUGCUCCAUCCAAGUGGUAGGAGAUUCCAGAACAUCGGAUUACCAUCUGCCCAGGAUAACCUACAUAAAUAACAUCAGAGGAACUAUCCAGGGCCAUACCUACUCCUGCCCAACUAAAAGAAACUGAAGGCCAUUUUUUUUUAUUAUAUUUAAUUUUAAGUAAAAUUCUCAAAAAUCA